AUUUCUGCUCUGGGGAGUUUUGAUGAAGCAAUGGAUACGAGUUACUAACACACACACACACACACACACACACACACACACACACACACACACACACACACACACACACACACACACACACACACACACACACACACACAACUCUAAACACCCAUUCAGACAUUUGUCUACCUAUACAACAAAGCAAAUGACUCUGUAUUGUUUAUAAACAUUUUUUUUUCGACCAAUAGCAACCGUUUUCUAUUCAAGAUUUUUUUAAACAGCUGUAUAAAAUGUAAAACCGCAUUUUCGGAGUCGUGAUUUGAGGUGUAACAAGCUAAGAUGACGGGUAAGUUUUUAACUUAAGACGCAAAUCUUUUUUUCUCUUUCUGGUUUAACAUCUUUAUUUUCAGACGCUAUUGUCAUAUCGGACGGCGAGUGGGAAGAAAUUCCUAUUGAGGAAUUAACUUGUAAAACUCCGGUCCCUCUCGAUGAUUUGUCUAAAAUUAAUCGUGCGGUCGAGAAUCUGAGUGAGUGGAUUUUAUAAAUAUAUACGUAACGUUCUUUUCUUCAGCUGAGAAAUAUCUCAUUUUACAGAAAAGGAGGGGGUUCAACCUUACCCCGGAAGUGAUAACUUUUACCCAACCACGCCUCCAUCCACCAGCCGAACCGUCUUACAUUCGUAUCAGCCGAGCCAUACCGUCAGAUCACACGCGAAUGCGAACGUGAAAGCUGUUCGUUACAGGACCAUCACGCCACAGACGAUCCUCGAAGCUGAGCAACGGCCGACGGCCUACGCACCCCCAAUAUCUCAGCCCCCACCACCUCCAACCCCUUCUCAUGCGCAGACGGAUGAACAACAUCAGACAGCCGCUUCAAUAUCUCCGCCCACACCUCCUCCUCCUCCUCCUCCUCCCCCUUCUCCUGCACAGGGUAAGAGAUAUAUAAAAAGGUGGUUAUUUACUUCAAAGAUGAUUCGUUCAUAUUUUUCCUUGUUUUUAUUCUUUCAGAACAAUCCGACAGCGACUCUGAAACCGCUGAACGUGCUACUGAGCAGCCAGCCGGUAAGCUGUUUCACAAAACUGCUCCGCAGAGUAUAUUAAAUUUUGAAGUAAAAAAAUAUGUUUUUUAUCCUUUCAGAACAACCCACGACCGACGAAGAGAACGCACCACCUCCUGCACCUGUACAGAAAAAACGGUUAAAGAAGAAGAAGCGGGGCAGAUUUACGCGACUUCAGAGAUCAAACAGGAUGAAGCUUGGCUACCUGCUCCUGCAAGUGAAUUCCGGCCUGGUGGAAGUGAUCCAGCAAGUUCUGGCUCUGUAAAAGGAGGACGCAGAUUUUUUUUCUUCAUUUUUAGUAGGUUUUUAAUGUCUUUUGUAUCAUGAGUGAAAAUUGGUUUGAUGACCUUUCAGAUUUGUUUGAAGUAGAUGAUGAAUUAAACGUAGAUUUGUUAGAUCGAAUUUUAGCCAGCCAAAAUCCCUCAGUGGAAGAGGCCGAAGAAAUUCUAUUAAAUGACUGGUUUGAUUUAAGCGGACUGAGUGAAGUAGAUGAAUUAGCUUCAGAUAGUGAGAUCUUAGACGAUAUUUUAGCAUCCCAAGCCGU